UACGAAGGGUGCAAGCGUUACUCGGAAUUACUGGGCGUAAAGCGUGCGCAGGUGGUUUGUUAAGUCUGAUGUGAAAGCCCUGGGCUCAACCUGGGAAUUGCAUUGGAUACUGGCAGGCUAGAGUGCGGUAGAGGGUAGUGGAAUUCCCGGUGUAGCAGUGAAAUGCGUAGAGAUCGGGAGGAACACCAGUGGCGAAGGCGACUACCUGGACCAGCACUGACACUGAGGCACGAAAGCGUGGGGAGCAAACAGG
rnacentral:rRNA from 1 species